AACGGCCGUACCAUGCUGAAUAUACCGGUUCUCGUUAGAUCACCGAAGUCAAGCAUCAUUGGGCGCGGUCAGUACUUGGGUGGGUGACCACCUAGGAACACCGCGUGCC
rnacentral:rRNA from 1 species